rnacentral:rRNA from 1 species
GGAAUGUAGCAAUACAUUUAGUGGCGAACGGGUGAGUAACGCGUGGAUGAUCUACCUAUGAGAUGGGGAUAACUACUAGAAAUAGUAGCUAAUACCGAAUAAGGUCAAUUAAUUUGUUAAUUGAUGAAAGGAAGCCUUUAAAGCUUCGCUUGUAGAUGAGUCUGCGUCUUAUUAGUUAGUUGGUGGGGUAAAUGCCUACCAAGACGAUGAUAAGUAACCGGCCUGAGAGGGUGAACGGUCACACUGGAACUGAGAUACGGUCCAGACUCCUACGGGAGGCAGCAGCUAAGAAUCUUCCGCAAUGGGCGAAAGCCUGACGGAGCGACACUGCGUGAAUGAAGAAGGUCGAAAGAUUGUAAAAUUCUUUUAUAAAUGAGGAAUAAGCUUUGUAGGAAAUGACAAAGCGAUGACGUUAAUUUAUGAAUAAGCCCCGGCUAAUUACGUGCCAGCAGCCGCGGUAAUACGUAAGGGGCGAGCGUUGUUCGGGAUUAUUGGGCGUA